AUACGGAGGGUGCAAGCGUUGUUCGGAAUUACUGGGCGUAAAGCGCGUGCAGGCGGUAAGGUAAGUCAGAUGUGAAAGCCCCGGGCUCAACCCGGGAAGUGCAUUUGAUACUGCCUUUCUUGAGUAUGGGAGAGGAGAGUGAAAUUCCCAGUGUAGAGGUGAAAUUCGUAGAUAUUGGGAGGAACACCCGUGGCGAAGGCGACUCUCUGGACCAAUACUGACGCUGAGACGCGAAAGCGUGGGGAGCGAACAGGAUUAGAAACCCCAGUAGUCC
rnacentral:rRNA from 1 species